UAACACAUGCAAGUCGAGCGGGGAUUGGGUGCUUGCACCUAAUCUUAGCGGCGGACGGGUGAGUAAUGCUUAGGAAUCUGCCAUUUAGUGGGGGACAACAUUCCGAAAGGGAUGCUAAUACCGCAUACGCCCUACGGGGGAAAGCAGGGGAUCUUCGGACCUUGCGCUAAAUGAUGAGCCUAAGUCGGAUUAGCUAGUUGGUGGGGUAAAGGCCUACCAAGGCGACGAUCUGUAGCGGGUCUGAGAGGAUGAUCCGCCACACUGGGACUGAGACACGGCCCAGACUCCUACGGGAGGCAGCAGUGGGGAAUAUUGGACAAUGGGGGGAACCCUGAUCCAGCCAUGCCGCGUGUGUGAAGAAGGCCUUUUGGUUGUAAAGCACUUUAAGCGAGGAGGAGGCUACCUGGAUUAAUACUCUAGGAUAGUGGACGUUACUCGCAGAAUAAGCACCGGCUAACUCUGUGCCAGCAGCCGCGGUAAUACAGAGGGUGCGAGCGUUAAUCGGAUUUACUGGGCGUAAACCUGCGUAGGCGGCUGAUUAAGUCGGAUGUGAAUCCCUGAGCUUAAUUAGGAAUUGCAUUCGAUACUGGUCAGCUAGAGUAUGGGAGAGGAUGGUAGAAUUCCAGGUGUAGCGGUGAAAUGCGUAGAGAUCUGGAGGAAUACCGAUGGCGAAGGCAGCCAUCUGGCCUAAUACUGACGCUGAGGUACGAAAGCAUGGGGAGCAAACAGGAUUAGAUACCCUGGUAGUCCAUGCCGUAAACGAUGUCUACUAGCCGUUGGGGCCUUUGAGGCUUUAGUGGCGCAGCUAACGCGAUAAGUAGACCGCCUGGGGAGUACGGUCGCAAGACUAAAACUCAAAUGAAUUGACGGGGGCCCGCACAAGCGGUGGAGCAUGUGGUUUAAUUCGAUGCAACGCGAAGAACCUUACCUGGCCUUGACAUAGUAGAAACUUUCCAGAGAUGGAUUGGUGCCUUCGGGAAUCUACAUACAGGUGCUGCAUGGCUGUCGUCAGCUCGUGUCGUGAGAUGUUGGGUUAAGUCCCGCAACGAGCGCAACCCUUUUCCUUACUUGCCAGCAUUUCGGAUGGGAACUUUAAGGAUACUGCCAGUGACAAACUGGAGGAAGGCGGGGACGACGUCAAGUCAUCAUGGCCCUUACGGCCAGGGCUACGCACGUGCUACAAUGGUCGGUACAAAGGGUUGCUACCUAGCGAUAGGAUGCUAAUCUCAAAAAGCCGAUCGUAGUCCGGAUCGCAGUCUGCAACUCGACUGCGUGAAGUCGGAAUCGCUAGUAAUCGCGGAUCAGAAUGCCGCGGUGAAUACGUUCCCGGGCCUUGUACACACCGCCCGUCACACCAUGGGAGUUUGUUGCACCAGAAGUAGGUAGUCUAACCUUAGGGGGGACGCUUACCACGGUGUGGCCGAUGACUGGGGUG
rnacentral:rRNA from 1 species